rnacentral:lncRNA from 1 species
CACUAACUAUUACAAUAAUCACUCAAAACUGAUUUGCACUAACUAUUACAACCACCUUAGUCAACUAAACAAAUAAUCGAACAAGAAAUGAAACAAACAAGCUAGUCGAAACACUAGUUGCGCAUAUUCUUAGUAGAAAUCAACUCUUAAAACUUGAUCAAUCCCAAUUAAUUAUCUGCUAAUAGUUUGACUUCCAUGCUUAUCAAACAGUUUACUAGUGUUUACUAGUGUAGAUAUAUAGCAAUAUGACUAUUCUCGAUUAAAACAGUUUACUAGUAACCAACAAAGAAAUCAGAGCUGUUACGUUUUCAUUGAAUAGUGAUAAGAGCCCUGGCCUUAAUGGAUAUAUGACUACUUCAAAAUUGGUUCAAUGUUGCCUGCUUUUAAUGUCACUUUGGUGCUUAAAUGCCUUAACCCAAUCUCUAUAAAAGAGUUUCGACCAAUAUCAUACCAUUUUGUAUUUUAUGUGUAUAACUAUGAUUCAUGCUAAUAGAAUUCAAGCUCAUCUUCCAGAGGUUAUUAACAAGAACCAAAAUGGUUUUUCAUCCCUAACAUACAGGUGAAUAGCCAUGUGAACAGCCAUAUGGAGUUAGGAUCUUCCAAAUAUAUAGGAAAGUAAUAGAAAAAAAAUUUAGCACGCCUGUGCUGGAAAUACAAGUGAUGACAGAAAUUAAGGGUAAGUUUUGAUAUUAUCACUGAAGAUCCUGUCUGAGCAUCAUGGAAUUCCCCAUGACCAACCUCUUCAUGAAUCUAAAUAACUGGUACACACAAAUAAACAAGUCACAUAUAAAUGUUUUAUUAUAUGUGAUUCAGUUCAAAUCAUCAACUAAUUGCAGGUAAAUGAUUCCCAUGGAUGCUAAAAACAGAGACUUCAAUCUUUUCGUAAAUAUUACAAGGAAACCUCUCAAAGUCUAAACCACCCGGCAUGGACUGUGAUGUUAAUAUAUCUGUUUUAUGCCCAAAAUAAGAGGCAAAUAUAAACUAUCAUUUCGUAUAUUAUAAGAUACUAGUAAAAAAACUAGUCAUUUACAAGGUACACAAUUCAAAGAAUAGACGAGCAUGCAAAAUCUGAAAUUCAAUCUCAAUCUGCUUUGGGCAAAACCCAAAUGUUCUACAUUUAAAGACCUUAGAAAGUAGAGAGAACCAAUCAAAUAAUCAUGAAGAAAACACCAAAUGCUGAGUAUAUAUAUACUAAAUGAAUAGAUUAAUCCAGGACACAAAAACAAAGAAAUCUGAUCUUUUUUUAUUAGCCAAGGGGUUAACAAUGAGUGAAUUUGCAAUUGUGAUUCUAACUUAAUUGGCUUAGCUUCCAUUGAUAAGGCAGUGACACUCGAGGUUAAUGAGGACUGAAUUUGCAAUGGUGAUUCUAUCUUAUUUGGCUUAGCUUCCUUUGGUAAGACAACAACACUUGAAACUUGCAUGAGUAGAAAGACAAUAGACUAUAUUAACCCAACCGGUGUAAUUAGCUAAGCUUCAAGUGUCAUUUUCGCUUAUUUGGAAAACAGACAAUCAUAGCUGAAUUGAAAUUCUACAUUACCUGAAGCCUCAACCUACAGUCUCUACCAAUUUCUUAACUCAUUCAACCUAUGUUACUUGGAUUCGUGUGUAAGAGUCAGAUUGGGUAUAUUCCAACAGGAGUAUGCCCAUUUCCCCCCAAAUUUUUUCUAUGUAUUUGAAUAGUCAUUGAAGGAUUGUAUCCCCAUACCCAUAUCACGAUAUUUGUCGGAUACAAAUGCUUCGAACAAAAUGAAGAAUCUGAGCAACAUAGAAUCUAACAAAAACCAUCUUCAUUCUACUUGAAGACCAACAGGCAUCAGUCGUAAGAGUUAGCUCUUUCCUAGCUGUCUUCUAAAUAGCCUUAACUUAGCAACACAAACUUUGUCGAAAAGUUUAAUUGACAACAAAAGUAUCAGUUUCAUAAAAGAAUAAAGGGAAACCAAAGUGCCCUAUCAACAGAAUCAGUCAAACAUGCAAUAGAAUAAAUAAGUAAUAGAACCACAUUGAAAAAGUUUUCAUCUGUUCAAUCGAACAUGCAAUAGAAUCAGUCAAAGAAAAGCCGAAUGAAAAUCAUAAGAAAGGAAUCAAAAUUAAGAGAACGAAAAACAAAUAUUCCAGAUUUGAGCAAAAGAAAAACUACUUGUAAAAUAAAUAGGGAAAGAGUGCGACCUGCUAAAAGAGUGAUGGUAACGACCUGUCACUCAAAACUGAAGAGUUAGAAAAUGGAGAAAAGAAAAACGAAAUCUAUUUUACAGAAAAGAAAAGAAAAGAAAAACAGGGAAAGAGUGCGAGCAUUUUUCGUUCUUGAUAAAAUAGAGAAAAGAAAAGAAACGUAAAUAGAAGAAAAGAAAUGUACGAGAAGAAGAAGCAAAAAUCGAUGGAAAGGAAAAAAUUACCUUUGCAAUAUCGAUGGAAGAAGAAGCAGAAACCGAUGAGGGCAGAAAAUAUAAUAAAAAAUAAAAAACGGGUGAGGAAUCCCUAAUUGGCGCUGAAUGGGGGGAAUGGCUAUUACAGCCAAUGGGGGUAAUAGGGACGAAACUGAUUCAGGCCGUAAUAGCAUUACAACCAACCAAACGCCCGUUUGGUAGUGGGCCCGCAGAAUAGGGGGAAUGCAUUCCUAUUCCCUCCAACCAAACAUGUCCUAAGGUUGGGCAGUUUGGAAUUCAAAUAAUAAAUAAAUUAAACAACGGUUUUC